rnacentral:rRNA from 1 species
AUGAACGCUGGCGGUGUGCCUUAAGCAUGCAAGUCGAACGGAUUUCGUCGCAAGACGGAGUCAGUGGUGGACGGGUGAGUAACAUCAAGGAACGUACCCUUUACUGUGACAUAGCUCGUCGAAAGACGGGGUAAUAUCGCAUGAGCCUGCAAGGGCAAAGGGCUUAACAGCCCGGUAGAGGAGCGGCCUUGUUCCCAUCAGCUUGUUGGCAGGGUAAAAGCCUACCAAGGCGACGACGGGUAGGGGGCGUGAGAGCGCGACCCCCCACAAUGGCACUGAGAUACGGGCCAUACAUCUACGGAUGGCAGCAACUGGGAAUAUUCGGCAAUGGGCGAAAGCCUGACCGAGCGACACCGCGUGAGGGAUGACGGUUUUCGGAUUGUAAACCUCUUUUAUAUGAUCAUCGAGAUCAUUUGAAUAAGCACCUACAAACUACGU